GGUAGUAGCAAAUAUUCGAAGGAGAACUUUUGAAGGCCGAAGUCGAAAAGGGUUCCAUGUGAACAGCAGCUGAACGUGGGUUGGUCAGUCAGUCCUGAGAGAUUGGUGAGCGCCACUUUGAAGUGACGAGUGAUGGCCUCCAUUGCACUCAGCCAAUCCAAAGGGAGUCAGGUUCAGAUCUCCGAAUCCGGAGUGGCAGAGAUGGGCACUGCCAGGUGUCCAGCACAGCAACGCAGUGGGUCCCAGAGCAGCCAGCAGGAGCCCCAGGGAGAGUUCCCUUCUCUUUGCGAAGGUCAGGGUGCCCUGAAAUUGGGUUCACCUAGAGAGAGGGGUCCAUGCCUUGAAAAGCAUCGCGGUUCCAGUGGCAUCUAGUGAGCUCUGGCUGGCCCUUGAAAAUCCUGGAGAGAGGGUGUAAAUCUCAUGCUGAGCUGUACCCGCAUCUGCAGCAUUCCUCCCUCUGGAACUAAGACCACUAGGCU
rnacentral:ncRNA from 1 species